UACGUAGGGUGCAAGCGUUGUCCGGAAUUAUUGGGCGUAAAGAGCUCGUAGGCGGUUUGUCGCGUCGAAUGUGAAAACCCGGGGCUCAACCCCGGGCCUGCAUUCGAUACGGGCAGACUAGAGUUCGGUAGGGGAGUCUGGAAUUCCUGGUGUAGCGGUGAAAUGCGUAGAUAUCUGGAGGAAUACCGGUGGCGAAGGCGGCAUCCUGGACCGAGAUUGACGCUGAUGAGCGAAAGCUAGGGGAGCAAACGGGG
rnacentral:rRNA from 1 species